rnacentral:tRNA from 1 species
GGCCUCUUAGCUCAAAUGGCUAGAGCGUUAUUUGUACUAAGGGCUUCCUCUUGCUGUCGUUGGUUCGAAUCCCACUGAGGCCG